AUGGUACCUUCCUAUUCAAGCUAUCUUCCAUCCCUCAAAGACCUUUUAAACCUCUUAAAACUCUCCGCUGAUGCUAAAAAUCUAAACUUUGGCAAAACCAUCCAUACCCAGUUGCUCAUUCGCAACCAAUCACCAACCCACCACUCUCACAUUACUCAAACCAACUCCCUAAUCAAUCUCUAUGUCAAAUGCUCCAGACUCCGUCUCGCACGUUAUUUCACUCUUCAAAGAAAUGGUUUCGUCGGUUCAAAACGAUGUUUUGGUUUCACCCAAUGA
rnacentral:lncRNA from 1 species